rnacentral:ncRNA from 1 species
ACGUGCUCCGGGGUCGGUGAGAAUCCGAACCGGCGGUGACAGUCCGCGAGCCUGAGACCUUGGUCGAGGGUUGAUCCGGUGGAAAUCCGGAACCGACGGUGAUGCGACGUUCCUCCCCAGGGAGGCGCGCGCUAGUCCGGAUGGGAGGCAGCACAC